rnacentral:rRNA from 1 species
UACAGAGGGGGCAAGCGUUAUUCGGAAUUACUGGGCGUAAAGGGCGCGUAGGCGGCCUGCUAAGUCGGAUGUGAAAUCCCUCGGCUCAACCGAGGAACUGCAUCCGAUACUGGCGGGCUUGAAUCCGGGAGAGGGAUGUGGAAUUCCAGGUGUAGCGGUGAAAUGCGUAGAUAUCUGGAGGAACACCGGUGGCGAAGGCGGCAUCCUGGACCGGUAUUGACGCUGAGGCGCGAAAGCUAGGGGAGCAAACGGG